rnacentral:rRNA from 1 species
GACGAACGCUGGCGGCGUGCCUUAGACAUGCAAGUCGAACGGAGUAGCAAUACUCAGUGGCGAACGGCGGAGUAAUGCAUAAGCAACGUGCCCCAAAGACUGGGAUAGUCGAGGGAAACCACGGGUAAUACCAGAUGUGGUCCUUAGAUGGCAUCAUCGAGGGAUUAAAUCGAGCAAUCGGCUUUGGGAGCGGCUUAUGUCCUAUCAGCUUGUUGGUGAGGUAACGGCUCACCAAGGCUACGACGGGUAGGGGGUCUGAGAGGAUGAUCCCCCCGAGUGGGACUGCGACACGGCCCACACACCUACGGGUGGCAGCAGUUUGGAAUAUUGCACAAUGGGGGAAACCCUGAUGCAGCGACGCCGCGUGGAGGACGAAGGAUCUAGGUCUGUAAACUCCUUUUGCCAGGAAAGACUUAGGACGGUACCUGGCGAAUAAGCCCCGGCUAACUACGUGCCAGCAGCCGCGGUAAGACGUAGGGGGCGAGCGUUGUCCGGAUUUACUGGGCGUAAAGAGCGCGUAGGCGGCUAGUUAAGUGAGAAGUGAAAUCUCCAGGGCUCAACCCGGAAACUGCUUUUCAUACUGGCCAGCUGGAGGGACGCAGGGGUGACUGGAAUUCCCGGUGUAGCGGUGAAAUGCAUUGAUAUCGGGAGGAACUCCAACAGCGAAGGCAGGUCACUGGGCGUUUCCUGACGCUGAGGCGCGAAAGCGUGGGUAGCAAACAGGAUUAGAUACCCUGGUAGUCCCACGCCCUAAACGAUGGAUACUAGACGUAAGAGGUAUCGACCCCUCUUGUGUCGCAGCUAACGCAUUAAGUAUCCCGCCUGGGGAGUACGGCCGCAAGGUUGAAACUCAAAUGAAUUGACGGGGACCCGCACAAGCGGUGGAGCAUGUGGAUUAAUUCGAUACUAACCGAAGAACCUUACCCAGGUUUGACAUCGAUGGUAAGCCCGAGAGAUCGGGCCCUCUCUCACAAGGAGACCUGAAGACAGAUGUUGCAUGGCUGUCGUCAGCUCGUGCCGUGAGGUGUACGGUUAAGUCCGCCAACGAGCGCAACCCUCGUCCUAUGUUGCCAGCGAGUAAUGUCGGGAACUCAUAGGAGACCGCCGGUGUAAGCCGGAGGAAGGUGGGGAUGAUGUCAAGUCAGCAUGGCUCUUACGCCUGGGGCUUCACACAUGCUACAA